CACUCGCGUUAGGGAUAAUAGUGGAAAGCCCACAGCCCGACGCAGGAGGUGCGAGGACUUGUAGCGAAUAGCCCGACUUUUU
rnacentral:misc_RNA from 1 species